rnacentral:rRNA from 1 species
CCUACGGGAGGCAGCAGUAGGGAAUAUUGCUCAAUGGGGGAAACCCUGAAGCAGCAACGCCGCGUGGAGGAUGAAGGUUGUAGGAGUGUAAACUCGUUUUGUUAGAGAAGAGGAUUACGGUAUCUAACGAAUAAUCACCGGCUACCUCCGUGCCAGCUGCCGCGGUUAUACGGAGGGGGCAAGCGUUACUCGGAAUUACCUGGCGUAAAGAGUGCGUAGGGGGGGUAAUUAGUCAGAUGUGAAAUCCUUUCGCUUAACUUCAGAACUGCAUUUGAAACUGUUACUCUGGAGUGUGGGAGAGGUAGGUGGAAUUCUUGGUGUAGGUGUCAAAUCCGUAGAGAUCACGAGGAAUACUCAUUGCGAAGGCGACCUGCUGGAACAUUACUGACGCUGAUGCACGAAAGCGUGGGGAGCAAACAGGAUUAGAUACCCGUGUAGUC